UGGCAGGAAAUUCCUAAUGAGGUGGGCAAUGGUUGAGAAUAGAGGUUCUAGGAAAAUUGAUGGACUAAGCACAAGUGGUUGUGGUUUGGAAAGUGGGUGCACCAAAGUGAGCAUGGAGUCCCAAGGGGUGACUAGACUGAGCUCUGAUGAGGUAUGUUCUGAUUCGGCUACAUGGGUUCGUCUCCUCCCUCCUCUGUUUUGGUUGCGCCGGGCUGAGGACGGGCUGUCAUCCUCCUAAUUCAAGUGAUGGCGCCAGGAGCCAGUGGAGGGUGAACGUCCUACCGGGCCAUUCCAAAACUCCCAAAUCUCCC
rnacentral:lncRNA from 1 species